GACAGAGGGAGGGGUGACUAGGGACAGAGUGAGGGAGGUGGUGACUAGUGACUUGUGACAGUCACCACCUCCCUCACUCUGUCACCUGUCAUCCCCUCACUCUGUCAC
rnacentral:miRNA from 1 species